rnacentral:lncRNA from 1 species
UGAGAUCAUUGUUAGCUAUCCAAUCCAGCAAAAUCCAUUGUAGCCUGAGAAAUAGUGGAAGUACUUGAUAUUUCAAAAGGGAAAAAUUUACAUAGAGCCAAGGCUCUAAACAAUCAAAUUCAAGCCUACAUCAAAACUUUCACUAGAAGAGGUUGUUUUGAUCCCUAAAUAUUCUCAAAUCGAUCAUCUCGACAUCAAGAUGCAUGAAUAUGAGACAAAAAAUGGAUUUCAUGUUUUCGACGUAGUGUAUUUUAUAACGCAUAUUUGGACCAUCGAUUUUCAAGUUUUCAUAGAUCUCUCGAUCUACAUUAUUUUUUAAGCUUUAAACUUCAUGAAAUUAAGAUGAAAAUAUAUUUUAAGGCAAU